GGUGAGAAGGGAGGUGGUGUAGUAGGUAGGGCAGUGAACUGUGGCGGGACAGUGGCCUGGCCUUCAGGUGACCACCAUGGUCGGGCACAGUACCUUCCCCAUGGCCGACGUGGGCCUUGGGGCUGCCAGCCCUUGGGGUUUGGUGGCUUCAUUUGCACCGGAGGAGCAGGCUGAGCACCCCCAGCAGCUGGCCUCAAGGGCGGCCUUGAGGGUUCCCCCCACACACAUACUGAGCUCCAGGGCCUGGCCAGCCACAAACCUCUCCUCUGAGUGGAAAUAUCGGUGUUUACAGCUUCACCUGUGGUAACAUACUGCUAAUAUUGGGCCUUCCAUGGCUUUCAGGUGUGUUGGCAGCUCAAGGUGAGCAUUUAGGAGCCCGGCCUUUGAGUGGGUUUGCUAACGUACCUGAAGUGCACCUGCCUCACCUGGUGUUCCUCCUCGGCUGCUGUGCGGGAAACGUUUAAGGGACACUUACGAAUACUGCCUGUGCCUGAAAGCAAACUGGAAUACAGUUCUAGAAAGCCCAGAUGAAAAAGAUCAAAUCUCUUUCAUAUGCUGCCAGUGCAAGCUUAUUGUUUGUGUGUUUUCAUUAAAGUCUUUGAGCCUGUGGAUAGGUAAUCCUCAAAGGUACCCUUGUGUGAUCACUGAUGGUUAUAUCUAACAGACUGCAUGAUGUGUUAGCAAACAUUAGAGUAAUUCAUGGAAGUCUUGUCACUUUUCUUCUGAUGUCA